GGGCGGGGGAGGCUGGCCUGUGCGGCCCGCCGACGCCUCGCAGAGCCGCCCGUCCGCCUCCCGUGUCAUGGUGCUGGCCGCGCUUCUCGGUUCUCGGAGUCUCACCGCACUAGGAGUCGCCUGCGCUCGCCGCGGCUUGGGUCCAGCCCUGCUGGGAAUCCUCUAUCACACAGAUUUGAGGAAGAGCUUGGCUGUGGAACAGGGUGCCAUGAAGGUUGAGGUACUGCCAGCCCUGACCGACAACUACAUGUACCUGAUCAUUGAUGAUGACACCAAGGAGGCCGCCAUUGUGGACCCAGUGCAGCCUCAGAAGGUUGUAGAAACGGUGAAAAAGCAUGGUGUGAAGCUGACUACAGUGCUCACCACCCACCACCAUUGGGACCAUGCUGGCGGGAAUGAGAAGCUGGUCAAGCUGGAGCCUGGAUUGAAGGUGUAUGGGGGCGAUGACCGGAUCGGGGCCCUGACUCACAAGGUCACACAACUGUCCACACUGCAGGUGGGGUCUCUCAACAUCAAGUGCCUCUCUACACCGUGUCACACUUCUGGACACAUCUGCUACUUUGUGAGCAAGCCCGGCAGUGCUGAGCCCCCUGCAGUGUUUACAGGUGACACCUUGUUUGUGGCUGGCUGCGGGAAGUUCUAUGAAGGGACAGCGGAUGAGAUGUACAAAGCUCUGCUCGAGGUCCUGGGUCGGCUCCCUCCUGACACAAGAGUGUACUGUGGCCAUGAAUAUACCAUCAACAACCUCAAGUUUGCUCGCCACGUGGAGCCCGACAACACUGCCAUUCAGGAGAAACUGGCCUGGGCCAAGGAGAAGUACAGUAUUGGGGAACCCACAGUGCCGUCCACCAUUGCAGAGGAGUUCACCUAUAAUCCGUUCAUGAGAGUGAGGGAGAAGACUGUGCAGCAGCAUGCGAGCGAGGUGGACCCUGUCACCACCAUGAGGGCCAUCCGCAAAGAGAAGGACCAUUUCAAGGUGCCCCGGGACUGAGGUGGCCGUGGGGCCUGGGGUGCCCGUGGCUGCUGACUUCAAGUGCAUUUAGGUACCUAUGAAACAUUUUCCAGGAUGGACCAUAUCUUAAGCCACAAAAUAAGAGGAGGGAACACUCCUCCAGAAGAGGAGGACCUCUUCUGACCCUGUCUUCCACUUCUAAGUACCCUUGUAAUUACAGAGUCCACUUGGAAAAUCCAUUGAAUCUUACUAUUUUAAGGUCAGCUGAUUACUGAUCUUAAUUCCCCUUUGCUAUGUAACUUGACAUAUUCACAAUUCCAGGGAUAACGUCAUGGAUAUCUUUGGUUGGGAACAUACUGCCUGUCACAGCAUCUAUGAAAACCAUCAGCUAACAUCAUAAUUCAUGGUGAAUGACUGAAUGCUUACCUAUAAAAUCAGGAACAAGGCAAGAAUGUCUGGUCUUCUCCUGCUACUUCUACUUAACACUACUGGCUAUGCAAUAAGGCACACACAAAAAAGAAAAAGAUAGUAGACAUAUUGGAAGAAGUAAAAAUGUCCUUCGCUGUGGCCAGGUAGCUCAGUUGGUUAGAGCAUCAUUCCAGUACAUAAGGUUGUGGGUUCGAUUCCUAGUUAGGGCACAUACAAGAAGAAACUAAUGAAUGCAUAAAUAAGUGGAACAAUAAGUCGGUGUUUCUCUCUCCCACUUCCUCUCUUUAAAGUCAAUUUUUUAAAAAUGUCCUGAUCCUACAUUUAGCUAAUUCUAAGGAAUUCAGAUACACACACAUACCUGGAACUAGUAAAUUUAGCAAGGUCCUAGGAUACAAGAUUAAUAAAGAAAAAUCCAUUUUAUUUUUAUAAUGAGCCAAAAAUGAAAUUAAGAAAACAAUUCUAUUCAUAGUAGUAUGAUAAACUAAUACUGAGGAAUUUAUCAAAAAUAGUGUAAGAUUUAUACACUGAAAACUGUAAAAAACUGGUAAGGGGAAUUAAAGAUGUAAGUAAAUGGGAAGGUAUUCCAUGACUUAAAAGACUAUUGUUAAGAUGUCAAUUUUCACAAUAUACAGAUAAUGUUUUAUAGAAUCGUACACCUGAAAGCUAUAUAAUUUUAUUAAUGUCACCCCAAUAAAUUUCGCCCUAUGUGGCCCAGCUGGUUGGGCAUUUUUUCACAAAGUGAAAGGUUGCCAGUUUGAUUUCCGGUCAGGACACUUGACUGGGUUGCAGGUUCCGUCCCCAUUCAGGGCGCCUAGGGUUCGGUCCCCACUCAGGGCAUGUAGGAGAGGCAACCAGUCCGUGUUUUUUUUCCCUUUCUUUUUCUCUCCCUUUUUUCCUCCCUUUCCCUUUUUCUAAAAAUAACAUCUUCUUAAAAAUUUUUCAAUAAAAAAGUAAAAAACAAAAGCACCCGUAUGUUCAUUGCAGUGCUAUUUAUAAUCGCCAAGAUAUGAAAGCAGCCCAAGUGUCCAUCCAUACAUGAGUGGAUAAAACAACUAUGGAACAUUUACACAAUGGAAUUCUACUCAGUUGUAAAAAUGAAGAAAAUUUUACACUUUGUAACAGCAUGGAUGGACCCGGAGAACAUUAUGCUAAGUGAAAUAAGCCAGAGAAAGACAGAUACCAUGUGAUUUCACUCAUAUGUGGAAUCUAAUGAAGGAACUUAACUAACAGGCAAAACAGAGACAGGCUCAUAGAGAACGGAUGACAGCUAUUGGGAGGGGGAGGUUACAGGGUACAGGGAUCCAGAGAAGGAAGAAGGACGCAUGGACAACAGUGUGGUGAUUUCUGGGGGGAGCGGAGUAUAAGGGGACUAAAUAGUAAUGGAAAAAAUAUAAAGAUUAUAUAUUUUAAAAAUAUUUUUUACAAAAUUUUUUAAAAAGUUACCCUCUCCCCAAAUUGAUCUUUAGAUCCAAUGCAAUCCCUAUCAAAAUCCCAGCAGGAUCUUGGGAGAAAGCAACAAGCUGAUCCUGAAAUUUACAUGAAAAUACAAAGGACAUACAAGAGCCAAAACUAUCUUGAAAAAGAGCAAAGUUGGAGGACUUAUAUUGCCUAAUUUCAAAACUUACUAUAGCCCUGGCUGGCGUGGCUCAGUUGGUUAGAGUGUUGCAACCGAAAGGUUGUGGGUUCAGUUCCCAGUCAGGGCACAUGCUGUGUGGUGCAUGGGGGAGCGCUGCUGGUCACUGCUCAUCCCUGGUCUGGACAACAACUGCCGCGGGAGAGGGAGCGUGUCGGGAGCACAGCGCUCUGGGAUCUGAGGGUUACUGUCCGGGGCCAGCUGAGAUGGGACCACGGACUCUGAAUCCCGGAGAUCCUGUCCCGGGGUUGUCACUGAUGGGGGGUAUAAACACCAGUCGUUACAAACACUUCUCUGUUUGCCUGGAGAGAGGACAUGGCACAUCCUUCUUAGUGGGGAAGGCCCCAAGCCACUUUGUCCAAAGGCUUUUAUUGAAAGGGUUAUCAGUGGAGCUGGGCAACAGGAAUGCACAGGUUAUCUCAUUACGUCUGUGUUAAUGUUCACAGAGACUGGGUGAUGUUUUGAAGGAAAAAAAUGGCAGGA